UACGGAGGGUGCAAGCGUUAAUCGGAAUUACUGGGCGUAAAGCGUGCGCAGGCGGUUUGUUAAGUCCGCUGUGAAAUCCCCGAGCUCAACUUGGGAAUUGCAGUGGAUACUGGCAAGCCGGAGUAUGGUAGAGGAAGGUGGAAUUCCCGGUGUAGCAGUGAAAUGCGUAGAGAUCGGGAGGAACACCAGUGGCGAAGGCAGCCCCCUGGGCUAACACUGACGCUCAUGCACGAAAGCGUGGGGAGCAAACAGG
rnacentral:rRNA from 1 species